rnacentral:piRNA from 1 species
UCCACCCGUACAGCGACUUCAGGUUC